GUAAAUAAUAAAGGGCGUAUGGUGGAUGCCUAGGCUCUCAGAGGCGAUGAAGGACGUGAUAAGCUGCGAAAAGCUCCGUUUAGGUGCAAAUAACCUUUGAUGCGGAGAUCUCCGAAUGGGAUAACCCAAUAUGUUGAAGACAUAUUAUACCGUAAGGUAGGCAAACGCAGGGAACUGAAACAUCUAAGUACCUGCAGGAGAAGAAAACAAAAGUGAUUCCCCCAGUAGCGGCGAGCGACCGGGGAUAAGCCCAAACCGUUAUUGUUUCGGCAGUAGCGGGGUAGUAGGACUGCGACAUUGAUGAAAUAAAUGAAAUGGAACACCUUGGAAAAUGUGAUCACAGAGGGUGAUAAUCCCGUACAUGCAAGUUUAUGAAUCAUAGCAGUAUCCUGAGUAAGUCGGGACACGUGUAAUCCUGACCGAAUCCGCCGGGACCAUCCGGCAAGGCUAAAUACUCCUGAGAGACCGAUAGUGAACCAGUACCGUGAGGGAAAGGUGAAAAGCACUUCGAACAGAAGAGUGAAAUAGUCCCUGAACCCAUACGCCUACAAGCAGUCGGAGCCGCUUCGUGCGGUGACGGCGUGCCUUUUGCAUAAUGAGCCUACGAGUUACUCAUCACCAGCGAGGUUAAGUACUUCAGGUACGUAAGCCGAAGCGAAAGCGAGUCUGAAUAGGGCGUCAAGUUGGUGGUGGUAGACGCGAAACCUUAGUGAUCUACCCAUGGGCAGGGUGAAGGUUUGGUAACACAAACUGGAGGCCCGAACCGGUAAACGUUGAAAAGUUUUCGGAUGACCUGUGGGUAGGGGUGAAAGGCCAAUCAAACUGGGAAAUAGCUCGUACUCUCCGAAAUGCAUUUAGGUGCAGCCUCUGUUGUUUUGUUCUAGAGGUAGAGCUACUGAUUGGAUGCGAGGGCUUCACCGCCUAUCAAAUCCGGCCAAACUCCGAAUGCUAGAACAUGAAGACAGGGAGUGAGCCAGCGGGUGCUAAGGUCCGUUGACGAAAGAGGGAGAACUCAGACCAUCAGCUAAGGUCCCCAAUUGUAUGCUAAGUUGGAAUUAAAACGGGGUGGGACUGCUUAGACAGCUAGGAUGUUGGCUUGGAAGCAGCCAUUCAUUUAAAGAGUGCGUAACAGCUCACUAGUCGAGCGGUCCUGCAUGGAUAAUACGCGGGCAUAAGCAUAUAACCGAAGCUAUGGGAUUGUAGAUGAUACAAUCGGUAGGAGAGCAUUCCAUUCAGCGUAGAAGCAGUAUCGUGAGGUAUUGUGGAGCGGAUGGAAAAGCAAAUGUAGGCAUAAGUAACGAUAAUGCGGGUGAGAACCCCGCACGCCGAAAGAUCAAGGAUUCCCCGGCAAUGUCAAUCAUCCGGGGGUAAGUCGGAUCCUAAGGGUAAGCCGAGUGGCGAUCCCGAUGGCAAACAGGUUAAUAUUCCUGUACUGAUCAUAACUGCGAUGCAGCGACGCAGAGGUGACACUGCUGCGUACUGACGGAAUAGUACGUUGAAACCCGUAUUCUUUGAUACCGGUAGUGAAGCACGCCGGUAGAGAUGAAAGGUGAUAGUACCGCAAUGCUUCGGUUGCGCGGAUAAUGCAGGUAAGCUGACUGCCAAGAAAACCUGCUAAGCUUCAGGUAAUGAUCAUCCGUACUGUAAACGGACACACGUGAUCAGGUAGAAAAUACUAAGGCGCUCGAGAGAUUCAUGGUUAAGGAACUAGGCAAAAUGGUCCUGUAACUUCGGGAUAAAGGACGCUCUUGUGAAAGAGCCGCAGAUAAUAGGCCCAGGCGACUGUUUACCAAAAACACAUGGCUAUGCUAAUUCGCAAGAAGAUGUAUAUGGCCUGACACCUGCCCGGUGCCGGAAGGUUAAGAGGAGAGCUCAGAGGUAACUCGAAGGUUUGAAUUGAAGCCCCGGUAAACGGCGGCCGUAACUAUAACGGUCCUAAGGUAGCGAAAUUCCUUGUCGGGUAAGUU
rnacentral:rRNA from 1 species